rnacentral:RNase_P_RNA from 1 species
UGAGUCGGUCGGGUGACCGCGGCCGGGCAUGGCCUUCGGGCCGGGACCCGGUCGAGGAAGGUCGGGGCUCCACAGGGCAGGAUGCUGAGGCGACUCAGGCGGGGGUGACCUCGCGGACAGGGCAGCAGAGAACAGACCGCCGAUGGCCCGGCUCGCCGGGCACAGGCAAGGGUGAAACGGUGCGGUAAGAGCGCACCAGUGCGGCGGGCGACCGUCGCAGCUGGCAACCCCCAUCCGGUGCAAGGCCAAGCAGUAGG